UACGUAGGCAGCGAGCGUUGUUCGGAGUUACUGGGCGUAAAGGGUGUGUAGGCGGUUGUUUAAGUUUGGGGUGAAAUCUCCCGGCUCAACCGGGAGGGUGCGCCGAAUACUGAAUGACUUGGAGUGCGGGAGAGGAAAGUGGAAUUCCUGGUGUAGCGGUGAAAUGCGUAGAUAUCAGGAGGAACACCGGUGGUGUAGACGGCUUUCUGGACCGUAACUGACGCUGAGACACGAAAGCGUGGGUAGCAAACAGG
rnacentral:rRNA from 1 species